rnacentral:misc_RNA from 1 species
AAAAGUCGUAACAAGGUUUCCGUAGGUGAACCUGCGGAAGGAUCAUUAAUGAAAGCUUCGGCUUACUUUGAUAUUUAAACCCCCUUAUGUUGACUGUACCAUGGUCUUUCUACUAGUGUUACUUUAUAUUAGUGGAUGGCAUGAUACAAAAACCUUUGUGUAAUCAGCUAUGUCUGUCUGAAAAAUAUAUGAAUUAUUUUAAAACUUUCAACAACGGAUCUCUUGGCUCCU